rnacentral:rRNA from 1 species
UACGGAGGGUGCAAGCGUUAUCCGGAUUCACUGGGUUUAAAGGGUGCGUAGGCGGAUAGGUAAGUCCGUGGUGAAAUCCUGCAGCUUAACUGCAGAACUGCCAUGGAUACUAUUUAUCUUGAAUGUCGUGGAGGUUAGCAGAAUAUGUCAUGUAGCGGUGAAAUGCUUAGAUAUGACAUAGAAUACCCAUUGCGAAGGCAGCUAACUACGCGAUAAUUGACGCUGAUGCACGAAAAGCGUGGGGGAUCAAAACAGG